rnacentral:lncRNA from 1 species
GGCCCCUCCUGGGAGAGGGAGAGAAAGAGACCCUGAACCGAUAAGAAACUUUUCACUGGUAGGAACUAGGUGUUCUAACUUUUUCCCUCUUUCCUCACUGUGCUGUUGACAUCUGAGAAGAAGAUAGCAGCUCGUUAUGUAGCAAGUUCACCCUGCGCUACAAUGAGGGUUGCGCUGGCCCCUGCAAGUGCAUGAUAUGCCAUGGCCUGAAACCAAGGAGGUGGGCUGAGUGCUGACAGAGAACAAAAAACAGCUACUCUAUCUUUCUCAAACAUCUUCAAGGUCUCUGGGGAGGAAUAAAUGCCCCUGAGGAGGUGUUUGCUUUAGGGAGACAGCUCUGGAGCUGUACAGGGUUCACAACAGCAGUGGAUUCGAGAGGGGUAUCUGCACUCGCUGUUCCUUUUUCCUAUGCAUAUACCGCUUUGAGAUCUAGCUUUAAAGAGGCAUAGGGCAUGGGAAAAUGGGGCUGCAGAGGUAUUUCACCGACCAAACUACCCCUGAUUGGUCAACUACCACAGCCCCGAGUUCUCCCUGUUGGACCUGAUCUAGAGGACUCCAGAAUAAAAAGACCGCAACAAGACCACACCCUGAACUCAGUGGAGAGACCAUACCUCGACCUGAGCCCUAGGACCAUGCCUCAGGACUACCUGGCUUGAUGACUCCUUGCUGUCCCCAGUCCACCUGGCAUUGCUGCUGCUCCAGUUCCAACUGUUCUGCCUGCGGCUAUGGAACCCUGACCUGUUCACCGGACGUGCUACCUGUCCCAGACCUGCUGUCCCAGACCUGCUGGAACCCUGACCUGUUCACCGGACGUGCUACCUGUCCCAGACCUGCUGUUUUCAACUCUCUAGAGACAGCAGGAGUGGUAGAGAUAC